rnacentral:misc_RNA from 1 species
AAUUCUCAACUACACUGAUUUUGUUGGUGUGGCUUGGAUUUGGGGGAGAAUCAUAUUUAUGUUCUUUGCAGGCUUUGUAAAUGAAGUCAGCUCCCCUGAAAUUGAUUAGCGGUACCUCAGUAGAACUGUCUACAGGUGUGAUAACUUAUCUACACCUUAGAUGUCUGCAUGAAAAGGUUAUGCUGCUUCCUAACCCUCACUCCUUAUUGGGAGCACUAAUGACAA